AAAAAAAAAAACCUACCUGAAUGCUAGUUUUAGGGGUUUUUUUUUGUACUACAUUCUGUUCACAAUCUCAUGUAAUGUAACUUCAGGUCAUGGUAGAAUCUAGUAUUAUUUUUUUUCUUUUCUUUAUUUUACCAUAGAUAGAGGAGCAUAGGCAUGCAAACAGCUUUCUGAACAGAGCUCAUUGGAUGUCAUCUUUGUUUAGGGAACAUUGGUUGUUUUUGCAUUGUUGCUCCACAAUGAGGGUUUUUUUCUGUCAUGGGUACAAAACUCCUCACUUGGUUUGCAGUUUGUCUCCUGCAUAUAUAUGAUGAUGUUUGCUCAGCAAUUUAGCUUAUAUUGAAUUUAUAUUUUGGAAUAGAAGAACAACACAGAAUUAGAGGUCUGUAUUUCAGACAUUUAAAUUUAGUCUAGAUGACUUCCACUUUGGAAGUUGCAACUACUGUCACAAGCAGCAAGCCAAAGGAGCACUGAGAUCUUAGGAGCAGCAGUUCUGUCUGGUAUGUAUUCAAUCCUUCUUGUACAAACACUUCAGUACACAGAGAAAUCUGAUGUGAAGACUAUACUGAGGACACUGAAUCAGUCUUUGAAAAUACCUACUUUUUCACUGACCAUAGAAGGAAGAAAGGUUUACUUGAGAGGACGUUUUACAAGAGCUCAUCCUAGUGUUAGGUGACAGAACUCCAACCUUGACAAUGAAUCUCUACUCAAUACUACAAUAAGCCACAGAGAGUAUGUACAGAUUCCUGCAUCUGCAAGAAAAAUGUACACACUGGACAAGAAUCUCUGCUAAACAAAAGGGAUAAAAUAAG
rnacentral:lncRNA from 1 species